rnacentral:rRNA from 1 species
CACGUAGGGGGCAAGCGUUGUCCGGAUUCAUUGGGCGUAAAGAGCUCGUAGGCGGCUCGGCAAGUCGGGUGUGAAACCUCCAGGCUCAACCUGGAGACGCCACUCGAUACUGCUGUGGCUAGAGUCCAGUAGGGGAGCGUGGAAUUCCUGGUGUAGCGGUGAAAUGCGCAGAUAUCAGGAGGAACACCAGCGGCGAAGGCGGUUGCCUGGGGCUUUGCUGACGCUGAUGCGCGAAAGCGUGGGGAGCGAUCCGG